rnacentral:lncRNA from 1 species
GAAGAUCAGGGCGAUGUAGUUCCCCUACGCAGGAAAAGAUGAACAAACAAACUAAAAGGGAGACUAGAGCUCGAGCCUAAUAGUUGUCACACCCACAAGAAGAGACGCUGAGACGUCGAAAGGAACACAAAAGGUUGAAAGGAUGAACUAAAAGGGAGACUAGAGCUCGAGCCUAAUAGUUGCCAAACACGCACAAAAAAAAAAAAAAAAAAAAGGCGCCCGGAGAGAUCAGCUCAAUCUCCUGCCUACAUACUUCAUCUGGUGUGAAGAUCAGGGCGAUGUAGUUCCCCUACGGAGGGAUAAAGGACUAGCCUAACCAGAUAACAGAGGGAGACACAACUAGGGAGACUAC